rnacentral:rRNA from 1 species
UUCGCCCUUUCGGUUGAUCCUGCCGGAGGUUACUGCUAUCGGUGUUCGACUAAGCCAUGCGAGUCAAAUGUUCUUUGUGAACAUGGCGGACUGCUCAGUAACACGUGGAUAACCUGCCCUUAGGUUUGGCAUAACUCCGGGAAACUGGAGAUAAUUCCGAAUAGGUCAAAUAUGCUGGAAUGCUUUUUGGCCAAAAGACCCCGGUUGCCUAAGGAUGGAUCUGCGGUCUAUCAGGUUGUAGUGGGUGUAACGUACCUACUAGCCUACGACGGAUAUGGGUUGUGAGAGCAAGAGCCCAGAGAUGGAUUCUGAGACAUGAAUCCAGGCCCUACGGGGCGCAGCAGGCGCGAAAACUUUACAAUGCGGGAAACCGCGAUAAGGGGACACCGAGUGCCAGCAUUUAUGUUGGCUGUCCACACGUGUAAACGGCAUGUGUUAGCAAGGGCCGGGCAAGACCGGUGCCAGCCGCCGCGGUAACACCGGCGGCCCGAGUGGUAAUCACUUUUAUUGGGUCUAAAGGGUCCGUAGCCGGUUUGAUCAGUUCUUCGGGAAAUCUGACAGCUCAACUGUUAGGCUUCCGGGGAAUACUGUCAGACUUGGGACCGGGAGAGGUAAGAGGUACUACAGGGGUAGGAGUGAAAUCUUGUAAUCCCUGUGGGACCACCAGUGGCGAAGGCGUCUUACCAGAACGGGUCCGACGGUGAGGGACGAAAGCUGGGGGCACGAACCGGAUUAGAUACCC